AUGAGAUUUUUUCUUUAUGUAUAUACUUAAAUAUAAUUAUAUACUUUGCUAAAUAAAAGAGAUGUCUAUUUUUUUUUUAAAAAAAAAAACAAACAAAAAGCCCAUCUUAUGUCCGGAAACACCAAAACGCUUUUCACACACACUCAACCCCCUCUCUUCGAUUCUACGGUCUCUAGCCACCAUGAGUGCCACCGUGAAGCCACCAGGCCCACCACUUUUCCUCCAUCGCCACCGUCUUCUAUCUCGCAAUCGUGAAUUCCACCGUUAAGCCAUCAUUGAACUAAUCAAGAAUUCAAAAUCCGAGUGCUGAUCAUCUCUGCAUUCCCCUGUUACUUUUUAUCUAUAGUAGCUAUGGAGUCUAUAAUUUAUCUAGCCCAAGUUGCACCUUAGUUUUCAAGAGAUAUCUCUUCAGAUAAUAUGAAUUGCAGAAAGCUAUCAUAAUCUCAAAUUUAUGUGAUUUAAUUCCUUCUAAUCAAUGGCCAUCAGUUGCAGUAUGCUUUGGAGGUACUACUCUCUUUCUCUUCCUUAUACUUUCAAUAUUGAAAGGGUGAUUUCAAAAGAUAUAUCAAGUUCAAACACCACACCAAUUACAGAAUUUUGGAGUUAUAUAGAGUCCAGGCACAAGAAUACAGAAAUAUGCGAGCUAUAUAAUUUUUUCUUUGUUCCAUCUAUUCGAUCAUCAUGUAUUACUGUAGACUGUAAUAUACUUUGUCAUUUGAACUGUAUAUUUUUAUUAUCGAUCAAACCAACUGUAGAUUUUAAGAAAUUUCAUGAUAUAAGGCAUGUGUUGGUGAUAAGGUGAAACUAAGUUUCUUAUUGAAAGCUGAUGAUAAAAUGUCACUUUUUCCCUAAUUGUUGACAGGUUAACAUGUGAUGGAGAGAGCUGGAAGGUGUACUCAAGUAGUUGCUUAAUUAUCUAAUUUUUUACUACUUUUCUAUCAUUUCCCAUAAUAAAAGUAGUAAAGUAAUCUUAGAAGUUGUUUGCUGAUGUAUCCAUAGCUGUGCUAUGUAAACUUAUGUUAAGCUAGAUGAUUUUAGUUGUUGUUGGCUUUUAUUGGUUUCCUUUUAUUGGUUUAAGUGUCUAUAGAUUCUUACUAGUUAUAUUGUUUUAUGGUUGUUCUGUCCAGUUCUAGUAGUUUAGUUUCAAUCUUCUUUCAUGUUAUAUAAUCCCCUGUUUCUUCUUA